rnacentral:rRNA from 1 species
AUCUUGACCAUCAGCAAUGGUUCCAACAUCAGUAAACUGCCAUUCCACCGCUGGCUCCAAGUCGAAUUCUCGCAAUGCCCGAAGAUAGCCACGAUAACGAUCACUAUUCAAAUCUUCAAGUUUGUCAUUGUAUCGAAUAGCUUGCUGCCCAGUGCAAAAUGCUAGCUUGCGAUAACCACGAUUCAAGAGAUAUUUAGUACCCGCAUACAUACCGCCUUCCUGAUCGGCACGCACCAUCAAAACCUCAGGAUCGGCAACGUAUUCAUUACAAAUACCAAUCAAACCGUAUUGCCGAUACUGCUUAAUCAAAUCCCAGUCAUUCUCAAUUGCGCACAUAAUCACAGCAUCGACCUGGUUCGUCUUGAGAAAUUCCAAGGCAUUCAGUUCGUGACUUUUCUGACCGAAUGUUUGCACAAUGACUGUCUUAUAGGAUCGCUCAUCAGCAGUGCGUUCAAUCGCUGCAACGAGUUCUGAAAAAAACGGGUUCGUAAUGUAAGGAACCGUCACGGCAAUCGUCUGCGAGCCAGAACCGCGCAUUUGUCGAGCAGCUUGAAGCGGUGUGUAACCCAACUUCGCCAUGGCAUCGGCAACCAGGGCCGCUUUGCGCGGUGAAACAUGUGGUUUGUGGUUAAUGAUCCGUGAUACCGUUGAAACCGAAACCCCGGCUAACUUUGCCACUUCUGAAAUCGUUGCCAUUUUUCACCGCUCCUCCACAUCUCCUUGAUUACAUGAAUAAUAUAGCGCUUUCAGAUUUCUUGUCAACGCUUUUUUGGUAUCGAUUUCAAAAACAAGCCAAAUCAAUUUUGUGAAUUUCUUUUUAAAAGUGUGACAUGCCGUUAACCAAUCCUUCACAAGUCACCACUGUCUUCGAUAAAAAUAUUUUUCCAUUGUUGUUCAUUGCGGUACGCUUAAGAAAACAAGAAAGGCAGGUUCAUCAUGCCCCAAUACCAACUCACACAACAAUCACGCUUCAAAAAGCACCUCAAGCAACUCCUCCAAGCUGGCCGCUUUACUCAGAACGACUUUGAACAAGUCACCAACUACUUGAAAACCGGCGACCCGCUGCCGGAAAAAUACGACGAUCAUGUCAUCAAAAGUCGCAAACCUGAUCGCGCUUUGUUCAUUAAAGGCAGCUGGUUGCUGAUCUAUCGGGUAGAAGAUUUGAAGGUACGGUUGCUGGACGUGGGGCGUCAUGGGGACAUUUAACGUUAUUUUGGUCUACUGUCGACCAAAGUUAAGGCGCCUUCUUUUGACAACCAACAACAAUUGGCAAGACGACAAUCUUUCAUGUUACUAUGUGCUUGGAGUAAAGCACAAAUUAUCAUUCGAUGAUCACUGCGGAGUGGUCAUCCGCGUUAUUGAAGGUCAGUCGAACGGAAGCGACUUCCUUUGCUAAGGAAGUCGUUUUUAUGUCCGGCCAUUACCAGCAGCGUUUAUUGGCCAUUUCUCACCGUUUAUUUCCCACAUUGUCCCCUCCCACCCCGCUGUGCUAAGCUGGCAUGAGGAAGGGGUGUGACUGCCAUGUACCGUUUGAUUGCGGUUGAUUUGGAUGACACAUUAUUAAAUUC